UACGGAGGGGGCUAGCGUUGUUCGGAAUUACUGGGCGUAAAGCGUGCGCAGGCGGUUGUGCAAGACAGGUGUGAAAUCCCCGGGCUUAACCUGGGAACUGCACUUGUGACUGCACGGCUAGGGUACGGUAGAGGGGGAUGGAAUUCCGCGUGUAGCAGUGAAAUGCGUAGAUAUGCGGAGGAACACCGAUGGCGAAGGCAAUCCCCUGGACCUGUACUGACGCUCAUGCACGAAAGCGUGGGGAGCAAACAGG
rnacentral:rRNA from 1 species